rnacentral:lncRNA from 1 species
CAUAGGUUAGAAUUUCUAUCCUUUUGAUAGACGUCAUGUUGCAUUGGUAAUUUGCACAUUUUUGAAGUUUUGUUCCUCGACUCUUCCACGCUUAGGGGAGGUUGUUUGCUUGGACGGUCGUUUCCCUAGCUGAUCUGACCUUACACCAAUCUCAAGUUUUAAAGCUCGAUUCAUCAUUAUAGGGAUCUUCUUAUGGGUCUCC